rnacentral:misc_RNA from 1 species
AGCAGCCGCGGUAAUUCCAGCUCCAAUAGCGUAUAUUAAAGUUGUUGCAGUUAAAAGCUCGUAGUUGAAUUUCGGGAUCAAUAUGUUGGUCGUGCCUUGGUACGUACUGGCAUUAUCGAUUCCUACCUUCUGAAGAACCUCGAUGUCAUUAAUUUGGUGUCUUGGGGAAUCAGGACUGUUACUUUGAAAAAAUUAGAGUGUUUAAAAGCAGGCUCGCGCUUGAAUACAUUAGCAUGGAAUAAUGAAAUAGGACGUUUUGAUUCUAUUUUGUUGGUUUCUAGGAUCGACGUAAUGAUUAAUAGGGACAGUUGGGGGCAUUAGUAUUCAAUUGUCAGAGGUGAAAUUCUUGGAUUUAUUGAAGACUAACUACUGCGAAAGCAUUUGCCAAGGAUGUUUUCAUUAAUCAAGAACGAAAGUUAGGGAUCGAAGACGAUCAGAUACCGUCGUAGUCUUAACCAUAAACUAUGCCGACUAGGGAUCGGAUGAUGUUAAUUUUUAAUGUACUCAUUCGGCGUCCG